GAUGAGAACGUAGCGAAAUGCGAAAAGUAGUGUGAAUUGCAGAAUUCAGUGAAUCAUCGAAUCUUUGAACGCACAUCGCGCCCCUUGGUAUUCCAUGGGGCAUGCCUGCUCGAGCGUCAUUAUGUACCCUCAAGCACUGCUCGGUGUUGGGCGUUUGUCCUGCAGAGGACUCGCCUGAAAGCGAUUGGCGGCCAACGUAGUCGUGGCAGAGCGCAGCACAAUCUCGCGUCUCUCCCCUCUGCGUCGGCGUCCAUGAAGCCCACAAUCUCAACGUUUGACCUCGGAUCAGGUAGGGAUACCCGCUGAACUUAAGCAUAUCAAUAAGCGGAGGA
rnacentral:misc_RNA from 1 species